AUUGUACCAGAGCAAGGUGACCGCCGGCGUUCGCGGCACCGGACUUCGUCUUUUGAUUCUAAAUCUUAUUUUGUAUAUUAUUGGCCCUGUAGUGGAGUUCAGAUUUUCUUUAGAUGCUCGUGACUUGUGACACCCCGGUCGGGCUAUGUUGGGUUGUAGAUAUCGAUUAUUAUUGUCAUUAAGUUGUAUUUAUCUAUUCAUUUAUGUUUAAUAAUUUUGAAAGAGGCGUCGUUGUUCUGUUGGCUGGCCUUGUCUUCACGAGAGGUGCCAUCACAACUGGGUUUGGAAAUUGGGUCGUGACACAUAGUUUGAAAAUUUUCACUAUGUAGAAUAUACACAAAUGUACUUGCAUAAGCUGGGAAAACUAUUGUGGUGUUAAACAUAAAACUUUGGAAAAGAGGGAUAGUGCGUAGACUAAGGGAGACGGAGGAAGAAGAAUAUAUUCAUCGACAUAUAUUGUAGAGUACAAAAAGUAGGUUCUUUUAUUUUUUUGAAAAAAAGUAGAUUGAUGAGUGCUAGACAAGAAGAAUUCCUUAUUAAAUAUGUGAAUGUCGCAUUAUACUCAUUGACCUAGAAAUGAAUAUGAAAAAAACAUAUGAUAAUGUGCCAAAACCAAAAAGUCUUCCGGUGAAUGCUAUACUAUUUCAGCUCAUUUUUCUCUUUUGUUACAAUAUGUAUCAUAAACAGAGUAAACAAAUAUUCCUUUGUGGGUUAAAAACAAAAGCACAAAAAGAGUUUCAUCUUAUAAAGGAAAGAAAGGAAUACACUCAUAUGUAAAAGCAGCUCUAUGUUGGGGUUAUAGAUCAGUGAAAAUUUAUAAUAAAAAAUUAAUAGCUUAUUUUUAAAAAAAAAAAACUAAAAUGAACUUGGGUUGGCGAACUCUAUUAGCAAGGACCCCCAAGAAAUCCAUAUAAAGUUGAAGGGAAUAUUUCAAGCAAUAACAAAUAGGAGACAGUGAGAUCUCAAAAGAGAGUCACAAUUCAUGCUGGUCUAUGUAGUUUUAUCAUUAGGAUCCUGUAGGGGUAUUCUUCUCUUCUUUUUGUUAGUGAGUCGCAUGACAAGUUCAAGCAGCAAAAUGGAGCACAAGGCAGAAUGCAUUCCAAAAUGUCAGUACAGUUGUAAAUUUUUUGUAGCUUUUUGGUGUAAUAAUAUGGACACAAUCUAAGAUUUCAUCAGUUCCUUACAAGCUGGAACUAGGAAUUGAUCUUUCGUAUAGGUGUACGGUUUCAGCAACACCUUGGGCUUAUUUUAUCUUGUUGGAUAAGCCAACAUCUUAGAGUUGUUUUCCCAUUAAUAAAAUACAUGUAAUGGCAAAUAAAAAUGCUCAAAAGUUUUGAGCAAAUAAAAGAUAAAAAAGUGAAAGUACCACAAGAAAGAAGUGAGAAUACACACAAUUUAUAGCUUUAGGGAUCGUAAGGUUCACUUACUAGUUAUGCAGGAAUUACAAUAAAGGUUGUUUAUGCGGUGACUAAUAUGAAGGAUUACUAUACAUGAAUUACUUACUUUAAAAGGAUAUUUUGUCUGUAAAUAGUUUAAUCCUUCCAUUGCUAAUGCAUGUAUUCUUAUUCCACAUUCUAUCCCGCAUGUUAACUCGAGUAUUAUUUAAUACCUCCAACAAAAUGUUGUUACACGGCAAUUAUUCUUUUCUUAUGCGACCAACCAAACUAUUUAUUAUCUUAUGCAAGAAUGUGUAUCUUAUGUGGGAAUCUAUGUCAGGAUUAAUUGCUCCAAUACCACAAACAAACGACCUCGAACGACUUUGAGCAAGAGGGUACCUGUACCCGAAACCUACACAAGUGGGUAGGUAUAGAACACCUAGGGGCGCGAGACAACUCUCUCUAAGGAACUCGGCAAAAUAGCCCCGUAACUCUGGGAGAAGGGGUGCCUCCUCACAAAGGGGGUCACAGUGACCAGGCCCGAGCGACUGUUUAUCAAAAACACAGGUCUCCGCAAAGUCAUAAGACCACGUAUGGAGGCCGAUGACUGCCAGUGCUGGAAGGUCAAGGAAGUUGGUGACCUGAUGACAGGGGAGACGGCGACCGAAAACCCUGUGAACGGCGGCCGUAACUAUAAUAGUCCUAAGGUAGCGAAAUUCCAUGUCGAAUAAGUUCCGACCCGCACGAAAGGCGCAACAAUCUGGGCACUGUCUUGGAGAGAGGCUCGAUGAAAUAGACAUGUCUGUGAAGACGCGCGGACUACUGCACCUAGACAGAAAGACCCUAUGAAGCUUCACUGUUCCCUGGAUUGGCUUUGGGCCUUUCUUGCGCAGCUUAGGUGGAAGGCGAAGAAGGCCUCCUUCUGGGGGGCCAUCAGUGAGAUAUACCACUUUGGAAGGGCUAGAAUUCUAACCUUGUGCCAGGACCUACGAGCCAAGGGACAGGCUAGGCCAAGGGACAGUCUCAAGUAGACAGUUUAUAUUGGGGCGUAGGCCUCCCAAAAUGUAAUGGAGGCGUGCAAAGGUUUCCUCAGGCCAGACGGAGAUUGGCCCUCGAGUGCAAAGGUAGAAGGGAGCCCAGACGGAGAUUAGCCCUCGAGUGCAAAGGUAGAAGGGAGCUUGACUGCAAGACCCACCCGUCGAGCAGGGACGAAAGUCGGCCUUGGUGAUCCGACGGUGCUGAGUGGAAGGGCCGUCGGUCAACNNNNNNNNNNNNNNNNNNNNAUUGAUGGGAAGGUUUGGCACCUCGAUGUAGGCUCUUCACCACCUGUGGCUAUAGUAUGUUCCAAGGGUUGGGCUGUUCGCCCAUUAAAGCGGUACGUGAGCUGGGUUCAGAACGUCGUGAAACAAUUCGGUUCAUUUCCAGUGUGGGCGUUAGAGCAUUGAGAGGACCUUUCCCUAGUACGACAGGACCGGGAAGGACGCACCUCUGGUGUACCAGUCAUCGUACCCAUGGUAAACACUAGGUAGCCAAGUGCGGAGCGGAUAACUGCUGAAAGCAUCUAAGUAGUAAGCCCACCCCAAGAUGAGUGCUCUCCUAUUCCGACUUCCCAAGAGCCUCGGGUAGCAUAGCCGAGUUAACUCCCUGUUUUUUCAGAAAAGUCCAAUGAAGACGUUUGGCUAAAAGAA
rnacentral:rRNA from 1 species